GCCUUACACAUGCAAGUCGAACGGCAGCGCGGGAGCAAUCCUGGCGGCGAGUGGCGAACGGGUGAGUAAUACAUCGGAACGUGCCCAAUCGUGGGGGAUAACGCAGCGAAAGCUGUGCUAAUACCGCAUACGAUCUACGGAUGAAAGCAGGGGAUCGCAAGACCUUGCGCGAAUGGAGCGGCCGAUGGCAGAUUAGGUAGUUGGUGAGGUAAAGGCUCACCAAGCCUUCGAUCUGUAGCUGGUCUGAGAGGACGACCAGCCACACUGGGACUGAGACACGGCCCAGACUCCUACGGGAGGCAGCAGUGGGGAAUUUUGGACAAUGGGCGAAAGCCUGAUCCAGCCAUGCCGCGUGCAGGAUGAAGGCCUUCGGGUUGUAAACUGCUUUUGUACGGAACGAAACGGCCUUUUCUAAUAAAGAGGGCUAAUGACGGUACCGUAAGAAUAAGCACCGGCUAACUACGUGCCAGCAGCCGCGGUAAUACGUAGGGUGCAAGCGUUAAUCGGAAUUACUAGGCGUAAAGCGUGCGCAGGCGGUUAUGUAAGACAGUUGUGAAAUCCCCGGGCUCAACCUGGGAACUGCAUCUGUGACUGCAUAGCUAGAGUACGGUAGAGGGGGAUGGAAUUCCGCGUGUAGCAGUGAAAUGCGUAGAUAUGCGGAGGAACACCGAUGGCGAAGGCAAUCCCCUGGACCUGUACUGACGCUCAUGCACGAAAGCGUG
rnacentral:rRNA from 1 species